GAUGAACGCUGGCGGCGUGCCUAAUACAUGCAAGUCGAGCGAACAGACGAGGAGCUUGCUCCUCUGACGUUAGCGGCGGACGGGUGAGUAACACGUAGAUAACCUACCUAUAAGACUGGGAUAACUUCGGGAAACCGGAGCUAAUACCGGAUAAUAUAUCGAACCGCAUGGUUCAAUAGUGAAAGACGGUUUUGCUGUCACUUAUAGAUGGAUCCGCGCCGCAUUAGCUAGUUGGUAAGGUAACGGCUUACCAAGGCAACGAUGCGUAGCCGACCUGAGAGGGUGAUCGGCCACACUGGAACUGAGACACGGUCCAGACUCCUACGGGAGGCAGCAGUAGGGAAUCUUCCGCAAAGGGCGAAAGCCUGACGGAGCAACGCCGCGUGAGUGAUGAAGGUCUUCGGAUCGUAAAACUCUGUUAUUAGGGAAGAACAAACGUGUAAGUAACUAUGCACGUCUUGACGGUACCUAAUCAGAAAGCCACGGCUAACUACGUG
rnacentral:rRNA from 1 species